UCCCAAAUCAGCACGUAAUUCCCACUAAGAAAAAUCCCGAGCGCAAACCCUCCACCGCCUCCAAUCAGAAAAUACUACUACCACCGCCGACAAUCGUCUCCCACCAUCACUUAGUGGUCAAUUUUGUGUUGAAGAAAAUAAACUCCUCUCUCAUUGUUUGCGUGGUCCUUGUUUGCGCCAAAUUGAAGAACAGAGAACCUAUACUAAAGGCAGUGCAUCAUCUUCGCUGAUGAAGUUGUCUCAGAUGAUGAAGUUCAACAUUGCUUCUGUAUAUGAGCAAAGAUACCAACUUUGAAUUUUCAAGCAUCAAACGUUUUCCAUAAACGCACAGCUUUUGUGUAGGAGAAUUGGAGGUGCAGCAGCAGGUUUAUGCUUGGUUCUGUUUAUUUUUGGGUGGUGCAAUUAUGCUGGCUGUGCAGAAGGUUGUAUAGGGUCAUUGUCUGCUGGCUGUGCAUAUUUAGCAAAAGUGCAGAAAUAGUACCCUGUGGGAAGUGGUUCGUAAGGAGCAGUAGCGUGACUGCAGCAUUUUUUGCAGUUCGUGAGUUAAGUUUGCAGAUUUUACAAAUCAACAAAUUCAAAUGACUGCAGUUUAUGUGUUUCUGGGAGGGUGUGCCCAUGGCGAAUCUAUUCAAUUAAGGAAGAAAUUGUAUAUGUUGCAAUUCUUGUAGGUUCCGGGAAUGUGUGGUGAGCAGGAAAAGGUGUCGUCGGGGUAGCAACCUGUUGAUUGCAUUUUAUACAUUUUCAAGUAGAUGGGUUAUGCUGAGUUUAUCGGACUGGAUAUGUAGUCUGCGCAGGCUAUCUUCUGUGUUGUUUGUAAAGUGUUGUGCGCAGUUUUGUGUCCAAAGUUGCAGAUUCUAAGCUUUAAUUGUUGCAGUCCUUGGUUGAACUCUAGUAGGCCGUGUAGUAUGUUGUUUGAUGGAGGUAUGGCAGGCCAUGUAGUAUCCAAUUCAGGAGUUGUUGAAUUUAUCAUGUAUGAUCUCUCAUGCUUUGUUAUUCUGAUUUGGUAUGCAUGUGUGCAGCUUGUUCUCCUUGUGGGCACAAAGCUACAGAAUAUGAUUGCGACCUUGGCAAUUGUCUGUCUAUUUCUUAUUGCAGUCAUUGCUCUGUGAUCCCAAUCUCAAUUAGCCUGCAAAUUCUAAAGCUGCUCGGAUGUUUGCUCAAUGACUGCAGAGCUGGAUAGCAGACUACCUCUUCCUUGGGUAGGGUGAUUCGAGCCUGAAGGUUUUAGGGCAUGUUCUAUCGACAUUGCCAUUUCAUUAUCCAAUUUCAGGAGUUGUUGAAUUUAUCAUGUAUUUCUCAUGUCAACCUUUCACAUAUGAAUUGGAGAGCUAUUUGAUAAUUUUGAUCCAUAUUAUAGUAUGACCUUUUAGUGUGUUUGUUUGUUCAA